rnacentral:rRNA from 1 species
UACGAAGGGGGGCUAGCGUUGUUCGGAAUCACUGGGCGUAAAGCGCACGUAGGCGGAUCUUUAAGUCAGGGGUGAAAUCCCGAGGCUCAACCUCGGAACUGCCUUUGAUACUGGGGAUCUCGAGUCCGGGAGAGGUGAGUGGAACUGCGAGUGUAGAGGUGAAAUUCGUAGAUAUUCGCAAGAACACCAGUGGCGAAGGCGGCUCACUGGCCCGAUACUGACGCUGAGGUGCGAAAGCGUGGGGAGCAAACAGG